AUUGAACGCUGGCGGCAUGCUUUACACAUGCAAGUCGAACGGUAACAGCACUUCGGUGGCUGACGAGUGGCGAACGGGUGAGUAAUACAUCGGAACGUGCCUAGUAGUGGGGGAUAACUACUCGCAAGAGUAGCUAAUACCGCAUGAGAUCUAAGGAUGAAAGCAGGGGACCUUCGGGCCUUGCGCUACUAGAGCGGCUGAUGGCAGAUUAGGUAGUUGGUGGGAUAAAGGCUUACCAAGCCGACGAUCUGUAGCUGGUCUGAGAGGACGACCAGCCACACUGGGACUGAGACACGGCCCAGACUCCUACGGGAGGCAGCAGUGGGGAAUUUUGGACAAUGGGCGCAAGCCUGAUCCAGCAAUGCCGCGUGCAGGAUGAAGGCCUUCGGGUGGUAAACUGCUUUUGUACGGAACGAAAAGCCUUCUUCUAAUACAGGAGGGUCAUGACGGUACCGAAAGAAUAAGCACCGGCUAACUACGUG
rnacentral:rRNA from 1 species